rnacentral:rRNA from 1 species
CCUACGGGAGGCAGCAGUGAGGAAUAUUGGUCAAUGGGCGUAAGCCUGAACCAGCCAAGUCGCGUGAGGGAUGAAGGUUCUAUGGAUCUUAAACCUCUUUUAUAAGGGAGUAGAGUGCGGGACGUGUCCCGUUGUGUAUGUACCUUAUGACUAAGGAUCGGCUAACUCUGUGCCACCAGCGGCGGUAAUACGGUGGAUCCGAGCGUGAUCCGAAGUUAUUGGGGUUAAUGGGUGCGUAGGCGGCUGUUUAGGUGAGUGGGUAAAGUCUGUGGCUAAACCAUAGAAUUGCCGUUGAGACUGGGAGGCUUGAGUAUGUUUGAGGCAGGCGGAAUGCGUGGUGUAGCGGUGAAAUGCUGAGAUAUCACGCAGAACCCCGAUGGCGAAGGCAGCCUGCCAAGCCAUGACUGACGCUGAUGCACGAAAGCGUGGGGAUCAAACAGGAUUAGAUACCCGUGUAGUC